rnacentral:sRNA from 1 species
CGGAGGAAAAGAAACCAACAGGGAUUGCCCUAGUAACGGCGAGUGAAGCGGCAACAGCUCAAAUUUGAAAUCUGGCUCUCUUUGGGGGUCCGAGUUGUAAUUUGCAGAGGAUGCUUUGGCAUUGGCGGCGGUCUAAGUUCCUUGGAACAGGACAUCGCAGAGGGUGAGAAUCCCGUACGUGGGCGCCUGCCUUUGCCGUGUAAAGCUCCUUCGACGAGUCGAGUUGUUUGGGAAUGCAGCUCUAAAUGGGAGGUAAAUUUCUUCUAAAGCUAAAUACCGGCCAGAGACCGAUAGCGCACAAGUAGAGUGAUCGAAAGAUGAAAAGUACUUUGGAAAGAGAGUCAAAAAGCACGUGAAAUUGUUGAAAGGGAAGCGCUUGCAGCCAGACUUGCCCGCAGUUGCUCACCUAGGCUUUGGCCUGGGGCACUCUUCUGCGGGCAGGCCAGCAUCAGUUUGGGCGGUCGGACAAAGGCCUCUGUCAAGUAUCUCCCUUCGGGGUGACCUUAUAGGGGAGGCGUAAUGCGACCAGCCCGGACUGAGGUCCGCGCAUCUGCUAGGAUGCUGGCGUAAUGGCUGUAAGCGGCCCGUCUUGA